GUGUCUUACCUAUUCCCAUGUUUCUCCUGCAUGUUCUUUCUUGCAGAGCUUUGAGCUUUGUUUCACUUUCUCUGGUGCCUGUGUGGUCUGCUUUGUCUUCACUAGCUAUGGCUCUCUGUUUUAUCUAUCUGGUUGCUAUUUCUCUUAGCUUUUCUUUCACUCCUGCCUUUCGUGACUCCCCUUUGGGUCACAUGUUGCAUGCAUCCCUCUCUUUUUCUUGUGCUCACCCCACUUGUUCUUUGUUCAAGUUCUCUUUGUCAGUCCAUUUCAGUUUUCUUUCUGCUGCUUCUAUCCUUAGUGAAUUCUUGUUUACAUUUCUUCCCUGCCUUUCUUGGGCCACUUUCUCUGUUUUCUUUUGUAUUUGUGUCUCUUUGCUAUUGGUGGAUUUCUUAUCUCAGCAUCAUUCUGUUGCUUUGUGUUUGCUUGUGUUUCUAUCUUCUACUUUCCUCCUUUCUGUUCACUUUGAGCAUUUCAUCUCUUUACAAGUCUGUGUCUCUCUUGUAUUCUAAAGUAAUCCUUUCUUGGAUGUUUCUUUGUAUGUACAUGUGCGUGUGUGCAUGUGUGUUAUGUGUGUCAUGUGUGAGAGGAGCUUCAUAGCCCCUUCCCAAUAGGUCCAGAAUGUCACCCGUGGAGCCGUUCCUCACACCAGACUGCCCUGAGAAAUAAUCUAAGACAAAAUACAUCAUUCCGUCCGGUCAGGAUUCAAGUGGCUCUGAAGUGAACGCCCAAGUAGAAGACAGAAGUUUUGCGACUUGAGAUUUAAAAGGACCAAAAUACACAGAUGGCCCGUCUUGAGCUGGCUGGACAGAAUGCUGACAACCCAAAGAAGAGGAACUGUUUCUACAGGACACCUGUGACUUCCAAGAGCGGGGAACUACUUACUGCCAUCAAUAUUGCUACCAAUUAAGCACAUCCUACCAUCAUCUGCUUUGAUCACAUAAAUGAACUGUGUACCAAUCUGUUGUUGAAAGACUGGAGUCAUCUUCCCACCAACUGUGAAAAAACACAUGGAAAACACCUGGACUUUGUGAACGGAUGCGGAAUACAGAACUUCUGUUGACUCUUGGGUGUUUUGAAGACUUGAAAAAAAAAA
rnacentral:lncRNA from 1 species